AUUGAACGCUGGCGGCAUGCUUUACACAUGCAAGUCGAACGGUAACAGGCCGCCAGGUGCUGACGAGUGGCGAACGGGUGCGUAAUGCAUCGGAACGUGCCCAGUCGUGGGGGAUAACUACUCGAAAGAGUAGCUAAUACCGCAUACGAUCUAUGGAUGAAAGCGGGGGACCGUAAGGCCUCGCGCGAUUGGAGCGGCCGAUGUCAGAUUAGGUAGUUGGUGGGGUAAAGGCUCACCAAGCCAACGAUCUGUAGCUGGUCUGAGAGGACGACCAGCCACACUGGGACUGAGACACGGCCCAGACUCCUACGGGAGGCAGCAGUGGGGAAUUUUGGACAAUGGGCGCAAGCCUGAUCCAGCAAUGCCGCGUGCAGGAAGAAGGCCUUCGGGUUGUAAACUGCUUUUGUACGGAACGAAACGGCUCUGGUUAAUACCCGGGGCUAAUGACGGUACCGUAAGAAUAAGCACCGGCUAACUACGU
rnacentral:rRNA from 1 species